UACGAAGGGUGCAAGCGUUACUCGGAAUUACUGGGCGUAAAGCGUGCGUAGGUGGUUUGUUAAGUCUGUUGUGAAAGCCCCGGGCUCAACCUGGGAAUGGCAAUGGAUACUGGCAAGCUAGAGUGCGGUAGAGGGUAGUGGAAUUCCCGGUGUAGCGGUGAAAUGCGUAGAGAUCGGGAGGAACACCAGUGGCGAAGGCGGCUACCUGGACCAGCACUGACACUGAAGCACGAAAGCGUGGGGAGCAAACAGG
rnacentral:rRNA from 1 species